UCAAACUUGGUCAUUUAGAGGAAGUAAAAGUCGUAACAAGGUUUCCGUAGGUGAACCUGCGGAAGGAUCAUUACCGAGUAAAGAAAAGACACGAUGAAUAUUCGAUUUGUCUUUUCACACAACUCUAAACCCAUUUGUGCACUUUGUUUCCUAUUUUGUUGCUUUGGCGAGAGGGUUUUCUCUCUCGCCAGAGAUUUCUCAAUUAUAAAUUCUUUUUAACAAAAUUAUUAUAAUUUUUCUUUUUUAAAACAAAAAAUAACAAAAAAACUUUCAGCAACGGAUCUCUUGGCUCUCGCAUCGAUGAAGAACGCAGC
rnacentral:misc_RNA from 1 species